rnacentral:rRNA from 1 species
CAAAAACAUGUCUUUUUGAUUAUAAUUUAAAGUCUAACCUGCCCAAUGAGGAGUUAAAUGGCCGCGGUAUUUUGACCGUGCAAAGGUAGCAUAAUCAUUAGUUUUUUAAUUGAAAGCUGGUAUGAAUGGUUGGACGAGAAAAUAACUGUCUCGAUUUAAGUUAAAUUAGAAUUUUAUUUAUGAGUAAAAAAGCUCAUAUGAGUUUAAAAGACGAGAAGACCCUAUAGAAUUUAAUAUAUGUAUAUAUAUAUUAUUUUUAGAAUUGAUAAUAAGUUAUAUAUAAUUAUAUUUUGUUGGGGUGAUAGAAAAAUUUAAAUAACUUUUUUUAUAUAAAAACAUUAAUGUAUGAAAAAAUGAUCCGUUAAUUACGAUUAUAAGAUUAAAUUACCUUAGGGAUAACAGCGUAAUUUUUUUUUAGAGUUCUUAUCGAAAAAAGAGUUUGCGACCUCGAUGUUGGAUUAAAAUUAACUUUUGGUGUAGGGGCU